rnacentral:rRNA from 1 species
UACAGAGGGUGCAAGCGUUAAUCGGAAUUACUGGGCGGAAAGGGUGCGUAGGUGGUUAGAGAAGUUGGGCGUGAAAUCCCUGGGCUUAACCUAGGAAUGGCGUUCAAUACUGGCUAGCUAGAGUAUGGUAGAGGUAAGCGGAAUUUCCGGUGUAGCGGUGAAAUGCGUAGAUAUCGGAAGGAACAUCAGUGGCGAAGGCGGCUUACUGGACUGAUACUGACACUGAGGCACGAGAGCGUGGGGAGCAAACAGG